CCCUCCACAAGUGGGAGACGUGAUGAUUUCCUAGCACGACAGGCCCAGCAGUGGAGUGGGCAAGCACGAGCUUGCUUGCAGCCCUUGGAACCCCUCAGAGGGUCAUUCGCCCCGGGCCUUCUCCAGCUGGGUCUGCUGGGGCGGCUCAGGGCUGUGCCACACGCUUCGGGUGCCCCCUCACCAGCCCGGGCCGCCUUCCCGGUUCCCACGCAGGCCCGCGGCGAGGCGGGCGCCAGGGUGGAAACGCUUCCCGCCCCCGUGGGCUCCCGGGGGAACUGGCGAGGCUGGCACCCUCAGGAAGCUCUUGCUGCAGGUCCUCCGGCGAUCGACGGAACCCACCCGCGGGCCUAGCAUCCAAGGGGAAGUCAGAGAUGUGAAGCAUGAGGGGGACUGAAGCCUGUGCUGGCUUGAAGAUGAAGGGACCCAUGUGCUGAGGAAUGUGGUGGCCUCUCAAGUUCCCCCAUUGACGGGAGCACAAAGACAUCCCACACAGCCCAACAUCACAAGGAACUGAAUUUGGCCAACAACCUGAACUCACUUGGAAUAGGAUUCUUCCCCAGAACUUCUAGCCCUGGGAGAGCUGAUCUAAUCUGCUCACUUCUGAGGACCAGGAGGGGAACUGCACAGGUUGACUCACUUGAGAAGAUUGCCGCCUGCCCUUGAAGAGCCCCGUAGGUGAGGCUUCCUCUUCAUGUCUUAACAGUAGGAUGACUGGCUUCAAAUAUGUUUGAUACUGUCUCUUAUCAGCUGAAUAAUGUUCCCUCACCCACCAGAAAAAUUCACAUGCCAAAGUCCUAACCCCUAGUACCUCAGAAUGUGACUGUGCUGUGAGACAGGGUCUUUAGAGAGGUAAUGAAGUUAAAAUACGAUGAUUGAAGUGGGUUCUAAUCCAACAUGACUGGUGUCCCUGCAAGAAGAGGAGAUUAAGACACGGACACACGAUCGUGUGAAGACACGGGGAGAAGACGGCUGUCUACAAGCUGGGAGAGAGGUCUCAGAAGAAACCAGCCCUGCUGACACUUUGAUCUCCAACCUCAAGUCUCUAGAACUGUGAGAAAAUAAAUUUUUGUUGUUUGAGGUACCAGCCUGUGGCACUUUGUUAUGGCAGCCCUGGCCAUUCCGGAGGAAGCUGCUGUCUUACAGCGCCUGCCUCUGUUUGAAAGAAACUGCAGUCCUGUUCUGAGUGGUGAGAGUCAGUAAAAUCAUGAACAGCUACAGGAAAGCUAACAGCCCAUCUAAGGGGACUCGGAAACCAGAGGCGAGAAGACCAAGCCGGGCCCCUGAAUGAAAUGGCUCCAACUGAAGUAAAGCUGAUUGAGGAGAACUGUUAAAAGAGAGGUUAUAAGAACUCAAACCUCUCUGUCACUAGUCUUCCAAUCCUGUUUCUUCCGAGUCCCUGACCAUCCAGCCGAACCAUUAGCAACUGCCCACGAGUUAGUGUAGGUCUCACGUCAGACGUAGUGAACAGCCAGGGGCUCAAAGUGCUGUCCGCUGUCAGGACUGUUCUUCACCCCAGUCCUUCGGGUUCACCAGGGCCCACGGCCAGGUCAUAACAGCCUGUCGGACAGAUUCACCUGUUCACAGGCGUGAGACUUUUCUUCAUCAGUCAACUGGGUGUAAGGGACACCCCCAGGUGGCCAUAGCAAGUGACUGAGGGAAAGAAGACCGUGCAACCAGAGCCACCUGCUCCUGUAAAUGGCUUGUAUCUUCUGGGCCUUUCCAAGCCUGCUCUCUUAUAUCGGGUGAUGAUAGAUCGCUGCUGUGCACACCCCAUCUUGGGGUUGGGUUGGUCAGAAAACGCCCCAUUCGUGAUGAGAAGGUCAGAUUGCAUGGUCACCGGAUGUCCCCUGGUUAGGUGUUCAGUCCCUAAGUUCCAAUAGCAAGCCAGAAGCUGUUUCUCAAAAGUAGAAUAGUUGUCUAUAGAAAAGAGCCUAAAAAUCCUGUGGGUCUGUGCUUUGAUUCUGCUCUUGGUGCUUGCUAGCCUGUCACUGGCUCCGCUGGACCGUCGGUACCAAAAGACAGGGCAGCUGUGCUGCAGCCUGAAU